rnacentral:rRNA from 1 species
UUUGAUCCUGGCUCAGAUUGAACGCUGGCGGCAGGCUUAACACAUGCAAGUCGAGCGGAGAUGAGGUGCUUGCACCUUAUCUUAGCGGCGGACGGGUGAGUAAUGCUUAGGAAUCUGCCAUUUAGUGGGGGACAACAUUUCGAAAGGGAUGCUAAUACCGCAUACGUCCUACGGGAGAAAGCAGGGGAUCUUCGGACCUUGCGCUAAAUGAUGAGCCUAAGUCGGAUUAGCUAGUUGGUGGGGUAAAGGCCUACCAAGGCGACGAUCUGUAGCGGGUCUGAGAGGAUGAUCCGCCACACUGGGACUGAGACACGGCCCAGACUCCUACGGGAGGCAGCAGUGGGGAAUAUUGGACAAUGGGCGGAAGCCUGAUCCAGCCAUGCCGCGUGUGUGAAGAAGGCCUUUUGGUUGUAAAGCACUUUAAGCGAGGAGGAGGCUACUUAGAUUAAUACCUAGGAUAGUGGACGUUACUCGCAGAAUAAGCACCGGCUAACUCUGUGCCAGCAGCCGCGGUAAUACAGAGGGUGCGAGCGUUAAUCGGAUUUACUGGGCGUAAAGCGUGCGUAGGCGGCUGAUUAAGUCGGAUGUGAAAUCCCUGAGCUUAACUUAGGAAUUGCAUUCGAUACUGGUCAGCUAGAGUAUGGGAGAGGAUGGUAGAAUUCCAGGUGUAGCGGUGAAAUGCGUAGAGAUCUGGAGGAAUACCGAUGGCGAAGGCAGCCAUCUGGCCUAAUACUGACGCUGAGGUACGAAAGCAUGGGGAGCAAACAGGAUUAGAUACCCUGGUAGUCCAUGCCGUAAACGAUGUCUACUAGCCGUUGGGGCCUUUGAGGCUUUAGUGGCGCAGCUAACGCGAUAAGUAGACCGCCUGGGGAGUACGGUCGCAAGACUAAAACUCAAAUGAAUUGACGGGGGCCCGCACAAGCGGUGGAGCAUGUGGUUUAAUUCGAUGCAACGCGAAGAACCUUACCUGGCCUUGACAUAGUAAGAACCCAGAGAUGGAUUGGUGCCUUCGGGAACUUACAUACAGGUGCUGCAUGGCUGUCGUCAGCUCGUGUCGUGAGAUGUUGGGUUAAGUCCCGCAACGAGCGCAACCCUUUUCCUUAUUUGCCAGCGAGUAAUGUCGGGAACUUUAAGGAUACUGCCAGUGACAAACUGGAGGAAGGCGGGGACGACGUCAAGUCAUCAUGGCCCUUACGGCCAGGGCUACACACGUGCUACAAUGGUCGGUACAAAGGGUUGCUACCUAGCGAUAGGAUGCUAAUCUCAAAAAGCCGAUCGUAGUCCGGAUUGGAGUCUGCAACUCGACUCCAUGAAGUCGGAAUCGCUAGUAAUCGCGGAUCAGAAUGCCGCGGUGAAUACGUUCCCGGGCCUUGUACACACCGCCCGUCACACCAUGGGAGUUGGGUCUACCCGAAGACGGUGCGCCAACCUGUUCGCAGGAGGCAGCUGGCCACGGUAGGCUCAGCGACUGGGGUGAAGUCGUAACAAGGUAGCCGUAGGGGAACCUGCGGCUGGAUCACCUCCUU